ACAGAGGGUGCGAGCGUUAAUCGGAAUUACUGGGCGUAAAGCGUGCGUAGGCGGUUUCGUAAGUCGGGUGUGAAAGCCCCGGGCUCAACCUGGGAAUUGCAUUCGAGACUGCGGAGCUGGAGUGCGGAAGAGGGAAGUGGAAUUUCCGGUGUAGCGGUGAAAUGCGUAGAUAUCGGAAGGAACAUCAGUGGCGAAAGCGACUUCCUGGUCCAGCACUGACGCUCAGGCACGAAAGCGUGGGGAGCAAACAGGA
rnacentral:rRNA from 1 species